CCUCUGAUGUCCCCUGUAUUCUAGAGCAACAGUCUCCGAAGCAACACUGAGCCAAAACAACAUGUGUGGCAACUGAAUGACAGCACACAUUUUUCCUGUCGUUUCGGACUUAAAUACAGGACUAUAUGACAAAGAUAUUGGACAAAAUGCUUCCAACAUCAGGCAAGUGUGAUCCUGCAGAAAGAGAGGAGGGAGGGAAAACACUGAAGGAAACAAAAGCAAAGAAUAUAUAGCAGAGUGAGAUGGAACUUUACAGUGGGGGCUGUGGAGAGGAGGAGUGGAGGAAGGAGGCUUAUAUCCAUGUUGUCGUACAAAAUACAGGUACACUUGUGAGUUCUAUGGAUUGUAUUUGUCCCUCCUCCAAGUAUAGUGAAUAUUUGUGUUUUUUACACAAGGUCCAGGCUGGGUCAGGAAGGAGGCUGGUGUCCUGAGGAGGGACUGCCGUGUGACUAACUCACAACAGUGAGAUAGUACUGUGAAGAGGAGGAGGGGAGGAAGGAGGCUUAUAUCCACGUAUCUUAUAUCCAGGGACAGAAAUGGAAGGCCACUGCCAAACGUGUCAGUGAUAUUCAGGCUUUCUCGGUGCCUCUGUCUCUGUAUGCGAUUCAGCUCUGAUGAUCUCAUAGUGACCCUGCACCCCAUUUCGGCCUUUAUUGCAAAACUGGCUGACGCCUGUAUCUAAGUGGAUGUGGACACUUUUCAGCCUCUUUCCCACACUUCUGCUGAGCAACAGCGUUCACACAGGUUGUGCCCUGUCCGAGCGGCGCAUGGCAUCCUUUACCAACACCGUAAUGCUACACAACACAGUGAACACAAGGCUCUGGGAAACCUGAACAUUUUCCUUAAACACCAUAAUAUUCAGGAGUAGGACCAAGCCUCAACCUCCCCCUGCUCCUCUCCAGCAAACCAAGCUCAGCUCAACCGCACCUUCAGUUACCCAAAAGCCCUAUUUAUACAGGCCUAUCCCAACAACACCGUCUGUCUCUGCUCUCUCGACCCUCUCCCUCCCACCCCGUACCUCUCUCUCUCUAGUCUCUAGCCUCUAGUCUCCUCCCAGCCAUCACAUCUCGCCAUCGUCAAGAAAUAUCUUUACCGUAUUCCAUUGUUGUGACGUGGUCCUUGCUAGUGAAAUACAACUGUGUGUCUGAAUAUGAAGACUUUCUGUCCGAUAUUAAGUCACGUGUCAACUGCCCCAGCCUAAACUUGACCUCAGCAAGCUGAUAAGAACAUUCGCAGCCAACAGC